AUACGGAGGGUGCAAGCGUUACUCGGAAUCACUGGGCGUAAAGCGCGCGUAGGCGGCUUGAUAAGUUGGAUGUGAAAGCCUACGGCUCAACCGUAGAACUGCAUCCAAAACUGUCAGGCUAGAGUGUGGGAGAGGAAGAUGGAAUUAGUUGUGUAGGGGUAAAAUCCGUAGAGAUAACUAGGAAUACCAAAAGCGAAGGCAAUCUUCUGGAACACUACUGACGCUGAGGCGCGAAGGCGUGGGGAGCAAACAGGAUUAGAAACCCUGGUAGUCC
rnacentral:rRNA from 1 species